AUUGAACGCUGGCGGCAUGCCUUACACAUGCAAGUCGAACGGUAACGGGCCUUCGGGUGCCGACGAGUGGCGAACGGGUGAGUAAUACAUCGGAACGUGCCCGAUCGUGGGGGAUAACGAGGCGAAAGCUUUGCUAAUACCGCAUACGAUCUACGGAUGAAAGCAGGGGACCGCAAGGCCUUGCGCGGACGGAGCGGCCGAUGGCAGAUUAGGUAGUUGGUGGGAUAAAAGCUUACCAAGCCGACGAUCUGUAGCUGGUCUGAGAGGAUGAUCAGCCACACUGGGACUGAGACACGGCCCAGACUCCUACGGGAGGCAGCAGUGGGGAAUUUUGGACAAUGGGCGCAAGCCUGAUCCAGCCAUGCCGCGUGCAGGAUGAAGGCCUUCGGGUUGUGAACUGCUUUUGUACGGAACGAAAAGCCUUCUUUUAAUACAGGAGGGUCAUGACGGUACCGUAAGAAUAAGCACCGGCUAACUACGUG
rnacentral:rRNA from 1 species